CAGCACUUGGUCAGGAGCGAAGUGGCCACAGGACGAAGGUAGUGAAGGAAGUCAGGAUUCAGAGUCAAAAGACCCAGGUUUGGGUCUUAGUUACUCGCUUACUCACUGAAUGAGCUGUGUGGCUUGGGGCCUGGAAGGCCUCAAAAAACUGGGUUCUCAUUCCACUUCUAGUAAGGAGCAGAAUUUCAGUUCUAUCGCUUUUUCUUUGGCAGCCAGAAGACAUUGCCCUCCUGGGUCACAGGACACAGCUGCCUGGAGGGAUCACGGCUGGAAAUACCAAGGUUAUAAUACCCCAACCAACCUCUUCUCCUUUCCCUUACCUUUCCUGUCACCCUAAGGCUUUGGGUGAGGUGCAAGGUAGCUCCUCACUGGGCAAAAGUUGGGAAUUUAAGAUCCAAACCAAAUAUGUAAGAACUCCACAUUCUGUUGCUCCUAAGCCCUAACUGGAGAACACUCUUAACAAACCUUUCAAUGUGCAAAGGUUUACCCAGCUUCUCUCCACUGCCAUGUUUUCAUACCCCACUGGAUCACACACAACAAGGAUUGCAAAUUAAGAUCUGUUUGCAAUCAGUAUUUUAGCUUUCUUUCUAUUUUCAUGUAUCUGAGAAAGGGUUGCCAAAUGGCUAACAGAUGCUGUGAUUCUGGAGAAAGACAUCCCUCUGAUGUAAACCCAGACAAAAUGAAAGAGGGGGUGGGGGAGGGAGAGGAGAGAGGCAGGUAGAAUAAGUGACCUGAUUCCUAGUCCCAGCUAAAAAUGAGACUAGACCCUGUGAACGGGACUUUGACUUUGUGGUCUUAGGCGAGCAAUUUUCUGGCCCUCAGCCCCUAGAUUUUUCCCCUACAAAAUGAGUGAAUUGGACGAAAUCUCAAGGUUCUACAGUUUUAUGAUUCUAAGGUCCCUCACAGCUCAAUCAUUCUAUGUUUUUGAUCUGAAAUUUUAUAUUUUAUGUCUCUUCUGUAUUUAACAUUCUGUUGUUUCAAUACUUUAUUGUCCUAAGUCCUUUCACAUUCUCCAGCUCUUACAUUCUAUAGUCUGUGUUCUAAGGUCCCUUUCAGUUGUAACAUUCUGUGUUCUAUGUCAUGAAGUCCCUUCCAGCUUUCACAUUCUGUUCUUUUGUGACAUAGCACAGAUUGGGAUGAUUUAUUUUUUCUUGUAGCUGGAAAGGGCUGGGAAUCCUAAAAUGCAUUGGCCAUAAUUAUACAUUGGAGACCAAAGGUCAGGAGCUUUGCAUAUACAAAUAUGUACACUGUCAAGCAAUAAGCGGUGAGUAAUGCCCAAGGGGAAAGGUGUUUAGUAUACAUCCCUGUGGUUUCUUUUGUGUUGUUUUGUUUUUCCUGCUGGCUAAAGCAAGGGCAUUGAUCCAAAGCACUGAUCCAGAACAUGAGAAGGUUUCCCACAAUACAAAGGGAAAUAAGGACUUAACUAGCUGAUUCCCAUAGAAAACAGAGCCAGCCAUAAAUCUGGUCCCACAGUGGUUAGCCGCUGUUUUUGCUGUUGUUCAUCCUCAGUACUCAAAGAAGCCCAAAGUCACCACACUUUGAGUGAUGCCCUUGACUUGUGGGUGUGUUGGAUUGAAGUGAGGCAGAGUUGCACAAAUUUGUCUCGCUCUCUUUUCGAGAGUCAUCAAAGUCCAGGAAUCAGACAAAAGUCAGGACGACUGGCAAUGACCUGGGAUGCAGCAGUCGACCUUGACGUCUUUGAUGUCUGACCAAGCUCUACGGGCUCCACAGUUCUCCUGCACUCAUUCUGCCAGGGAAAGGCUUCACAUGCUUGGGAUGGGCAUCCCCCUAACUCAUCAACAGGUUUAAGGUCUAGCAAUUACAUUCAACCUGAUUUAGUCCAUCUACUGAGAUGGUUUUACUGGGGUGUGGCCACUGCACAUGCUACAGCUAUUUGGAGCCACAUGUGAGAGUUGGGUGAUGAAUGGACACCAAAGGUGGAUGAGCAGCCCUAAAAAAAAGGCUUAGCAAGCCCACUCACCAGAGGUUCUAGUCCUCCUUCAACACCCCACAUACCCCACGAUGGUUAGCUACAUCCCCCAUAGAACCGUGCAUUGUAAGAAAGUUUAGUUAGAACAAAUAAAGUAAGCCAUCAGUCAAGAAGUAGCUAGGUG
ensembl:lncRNA